rnacentral:rRNA from 1 species
UACAGAGGGUGCGAGCGUUGUCCGGAAUCACUGGGCGUAAAGGGCGCGUAGGCGGCUUCUUAAGCGUGUGGUGAAAGCGCGGGGCUCAACCCCGCGUCGGCCGUGCGAACUGGGGAGCUGGAGCACGUCAGAGGCAGGCGGAAUUCCGGGUGUAGCGGCGGAAUGCGUAGAGAUCCGGAAGAACACCGGUGGCGAAGGCGGCCUGCUGGGACGUGGCUGACGCUGAGGCGCGACAGCGUGGGGAGCAAACAGG